rnacentral:lncRNA from 1 species
GGGAAAAUUGUGUCACCGUAACCAACUCCUCGCAUCGUCAGAGGAUUUGAGGACGUUUCUCGGGUGCGGAGGACUCGUGGCAAAACCGAUUGAAUUGGGAAUCUUCCUCCUCCAACGAAUGCUAUUUCCAUUGUUCUUCCCUUGUUUUAUAGUGUUCUUUUGUAAUGUUGUUUGUUUGUAGAUUUUGGUUUUCUGCUUUCUUUGUUGAGUCUUCGUGUUCUGUAAAAAUUCAAAAAUUGGUAUAAUAAAUCUUCACCUGUUUACCAAAAAAAAA